GACGAACGCUGGCGGCGUGCUUAACACAUGCAAGUCGAACGGAAAGGCCCUGCUUUUGUGGGGUGCUCGAGUGGCGAACGGGUGAGUAACACGUGAGUAACCUGCCCUUGACUUUGGGAUAACUUCAGGAAACUGGGGCUAAUACCGGAUAGGAGCUCCUGCUGCAUGGUGGGGGUUGGAAAGUUUCGGCGGUUGGGGAUGGACUCGCGGCUUAUCAGCUUGUUGGUGGGGUAGUGGCUUACCAAGGCUUUGACGGGUAGCCGGCCUGAGAGGGUGACCGGCCACAUUGGGACUGAGAUACGGCCGAGACUCCUACGGGAGGCAGCAGUGGGGAAUAUUGCACAAUGGGCGGAAGCCUGAUGCAGCAACGCCGGGUGCGGGAUGACGGCCGUCGGGUUGUAAACCGCUUUCGCCUGUGAGGAAGCGUGUGUGACGGUAAUGGGUAAAGAAGCACCGGCUAACUACGUG
rnacentral:rRNA from 1 species